AUUGAACGCUGGCGGCGUGCCUUACACAUGCAAGUCGAACGGCAGCAUGGGUGCUUGCACCUGAUGGCGAGUGGCGAACGGGUGAGUAAUGCAUCGGAACGUACCCGGAAGUGGGGGAUAACGUAGCGAAAGUUACGCUAAUACCGCAUAUUCUGUGAGCAGGAAAGUGGGGGAUCGCAAGACCUCGCGCUUCCGGAGCGGCCGAUGUCGGAUUAGCUAGUUGGCGGGGUAAAGGCCCACCAAGGCAACGAUCCGUAGCGGGUCUGAGAGGAUGAUCCGCCACCCUGGGAAUGAGACACGGCCCAGACUCCUACGGGAGGCAGCAGUGGGGAAUUUUGGACAAUGGGGGCAACCCUGAUCCAGCCAUGCCGCGUGAGUGAAGAAGGCCUUCGGGUUGUAAAGCUCUUUCGGCCGGGAAGAAAUCGCACAGGUUAAUACCUUGUGUGGAUGACGGUACCGGAAUAAGAAGCACCGGCUAACUACGUGCCAGCCGCCGCAGUAAUAC
rnacentral:rRNA from 1 species